rnacentral:tRNA from 1 species
AGGGGUGUAGCUCAAUUGGUAGAGUACCGGUCUCCAAAACCGUCGGUUGAAAGUUCGAGUCUUUCUACCCCUGCCA